rnacentral:misc_RNA from 1 species
AAGUCGUAACAAGGUUUCCGUAGGUGAACCUGCGGAAGGAUCAUUACAAAUAAAGCUGGUAGGAAGUGGGGUCUUGAUCUGUAAGUGGUAGAGCGGGCAGUCCGGUUUGGCCCUUCCCCGAAAAAUGUCUUAACAGUCCCCCCCACAGCCUGAAGGCCGAAUUACAACCCUUGAUUAUCUACACUUGUUGCUUUGGGGUGCUCAAGUGCCCCAGAGGACCCAACUCUCUUGCAUUUUAGUGACGUCUGAGUACUAUAUAAUAUUUAAAA